CUUGGUCCGAGCAGCGAAAAUUCGGACAAGCACAGGGUAUGCAAACAGACCAAUUUGCAAAUUGUACCCACUAGAACUGUCAACGAACGAAGUCAAGGAAAAGGACAUAAGCAACUGUGAUCAAGAAAACCUUGUUGUCAACAAUUGAACUGAACAAGAGAGAACGGUUAGAAACAGACCUGUAAAACCUCAGCCGCGAGAGCAGCCAACAGAAUUUCAGAAUGGACGAAGAUCUUACGCCGCCCCCGGAGGAUGUCGAAGAGAUAUGAACAUUCCAGUAUACAGUAUAUAGCUCGGG